rnacentral:rRNA from 1 species
CACGUAGGCACCAAGCGUUGUCCGGAUUUAUUGGGCGUAAAGAGCUCGUAGGCGGUUCGAUAAGUCGGGUGUGAAACUUUGGGCUCAACCCAAAGCGUGCAUUCGAUACUGUUGUGACUAGAGUUCGGUAGGGGAGUGGGGAAUUCCUAGUGUAGCGGUGAAAUGCGCAGAUAUUAGGAGGAACACCGGUGGCGAAGGCGCCAACUCUGG